GACGAACGCUGGCGGCGUGCCUAAUACAUGCAAGUCGAGCGGACGAAUCGAAAGCUUGCUUUUGAUUCGUUAGCGGCGGACGGGUGAGUAACACGUGGGCAACCUGCCCUGUAGACGGGGAUAACACCGAGAAAUCGGUGCUAAUACCGGAUAACACGAAAUGUCGCAUGACGUUUCGUUGAAAGACGGCGCAAGCUGUCGCUACAGGAUGGGCCCGCGCCGCAUUAGCUAGUUGGUGAGGUAACGGCUCACCAAGGCGACGAUGCGUAGCCGACCUGAGAGGGUGAUCGGCCACACUGGGACUGAGACACGGCCCAGACUCCUACGGGAGGCAGCAGUAGGGAAUCUUCCGCAAUGGACGAAAGUCUGACGGAGCAACGCCGCGUGAGCGAAGAAGGCCUUCGGGUCGUAAAGCUCUGUUGUUAGGGAAGAACAAGUAACGCAGUAACUGGCGUUACCGUGACGGUACCUAACGAGAAAGCCACGGCUAACUACGUG
rnacentral:rRNA from 1 species